rnacentral:rRNA from 1 species
UACGGAAGGUCCGGGCGUUAUCCGGAUUUAUUGGGUUUAAAGGGAGCGUAGGCCGGAGAUUAAGCGUGUUGUGAAAUGUAGACGCUCAACGUCUGCACUGCAGCGCGAACUGGUUUCCUUGAGUACGUAGGAAGUUGGCGGAAUUCGUGGUGUAGCGGUGAAAUGCUUAGAUAUCACGAAGAACUCCGAUUGCGAAGGCAGCUGACUGUAUCGUAACUGACGCUGAUGCUCGAAAGUGCGGGUAUCAAACAGG